rnacentral:lncRNA from 1 species
CGACAUGAUUACCGUUGGAUUAGAUCCACUUAGCUCCAUCUAAUUAACCGAAGUCUCACAUCACUUUGUCAUACAUUAAUUACAUUGACAAGAGGUCAACCGCCCUAUGUUACUAGGCUGACAUGUCUGAUACUCAUUAAUGUAAAUGUUACAUCAAUCAUUCCUAAAGAUACUCAUCAUACCUGCUUUAGAGGUAGCGAAUGCUUCGGCUUUAAAAGGGAGAGCUUUGGAUGCGAAGAUGUUCGACUUUAGAAGGAAGCGCAUCGGCAAAAGAACCUCGGAUGGUAACAGUGCUUCAGCUGUAGAGCAACUCUUGCCAAAGGAUGGAAUACAAGAAUCAACGCAUGGUAAGAAUCCACAUUUUCCAGCAAUAUGUAUCAGUUUCUUGGCGCUCCCUUUAAUUUUCUAUUCAUUAUCUUACAGGUUCUUAAUUUGAAAUGAUACUGUUAUACUUUUAUACUUAUAAAAGGGCUUUGAAGCAAAGAAUAUUGAUCGAUCGAUGAUUAAGAAAAUAUACUCUCUUAAGGUUUGUCAAGACAGAAUUCGUCCUUCUCCUUGAAAGCCUUUUGGAACUACAUAUACAUAAUAACUUCAGUUGACGAAAGAGAAAACAGAUAUAUAAAUCUGUAUAUUGAAUAAUACUGAAAAUAUAAUGUGCGACAAUUUACAAACUACAAUUUUCCCCUUAAAUAUAAAAAGUUGCUCUCAAACAACUUCAAUGUAUUUUUCGUACUUUAUGGAAUUCCUAACAAGAACUUGAAGCUUAUGAAAGGAGGCUGCCAAGUAUGUACAAGAUCAAGCACCUUUUUACAUUUCAUAUCUUGUACAGUUGUCACCAA